rnacentral:rRNA from 1 species
CCUACGGGGCGCAGCAGUGGGGGAUAUUGCACAAUGGGGGGAACCCUGAUGCAGCGACGCCGCGUGGGUGAAGAAGUAUUUCGGUAUGUAAAGCCCUAUCAGCAGGGAAGAAGAAAUGACGGUACCUGAGUAAGAAGCACCGGCUAAAUACGAGCCAGCAGCCGCGGUAAUACGUAUGGUGCAAGCGUUAUCCGGAUUUACUGGGUGUAAAGGGAGCGCAGGCGGCACGGCAAGCCUGAUGUGAAAGCCCGCAGCCAAACCCCGGGACUGCUCUUGGAACUACAUGGCUGGAGUACAGGAGGGGG